CAGCCGCCGCGGGAAUACGGAGGGUGCAAGCGUUGUCCGGAUUUAUUGGGUUUAAAGGGUGCGUAGGCGGCUAUUUAAGUCAGCGAUGAAAGACUCCGGCUCAACCGGAGCAGUGCCAUUGAUACUGGAUAGCUUGAGUGUUGGAGGGGUACAUGGAAUUGAUGGUGUAGCGGUGAAAUGCAUAGAUACCAUCAGGAACACCGAUAGCGAAGGCAUUGUACUGGCCAACAACUGACGCUGAGGCACGAAAGCAUGGGGAGCGAACAGGAUUAGAGACCCCAGUAGUCCCUGUCUCUUAUAC
rnacentral:rRNA from 1 species